GCGGGUGUAGCUCAGCUGGUUAGAGCGCCGCCCUGUCACGGCGGAGGCCGCGAGUUCAAGUCUCGUCACUCGCGCCA
rnacentral:tRNA from 1 species